CGGCCGCAGGGCACGUGGGGGCUGCCGGCCCGUCGGGUGCCGGGGCUGCUGGCCCAUCUAGUGCUGCAGCCCCACCUGCUGCUGGUGGUGCUGCUGGUGGUGCUACUGGCACGAAGCGGCAGGCCGACCUAGGGAGCGGCGGGGCCACUACCGCAGAGCCGCCGCAGCAGCGGCGGAAGCUCGGACUAUCGGAGGACGAGCAGCCGGCGCAGCAGCCGGCGGCGCCGGAGGCGGCACAGGAGGAGGCGGCGGAGGCGGCGCAGCCGGCGGCACAGGAGGCGACGCAGGAGCAGCCAGCGCAGCAGCUGCCGCUAGCACAGCAAGCACCGGAAGAGCAGGCGGAGGCAGAUCAGGCGCAGCAGCUGUAGCAGCACCAGGGGCUAAGCCAACAGGUUGUGUGGGAUGCUGCGUGCUAGGUUGAUUGCGGCAGGGUUGAGUAGUUGCCGCAGCUGCCGCCGGUUGUUGGGCUGGCGCAUACUGCCAUAAUGUUGCGGGGCAUGAGAGUGGCGAAAGGCAAUGGGGUUGCGAGACCGUACGUGUUGCACAAGAAUGUGAUGUGCUGAAGCCAUGGCCCAACUAAGCGAGGCCCAGAUGCCCAACUAAGCGAGAGCUGCUUACUCUAUUGUGCUGCAGUCUGUGUGGCUGCUGGGAGAGUUACAAAAGUACUCAAGAACGUAACUUCAGACUCAUGCCGAUGACACUGCUGAAACCACAUUGAAGACUAUGCUGCGACGGUUGAGUGGUACCUGGUGUCGAGGCACAGUAGCAGGAGCGUCAGCUCUAUGGGGGCGCCAAGAGGCUCGGGAAGAAGCAUCGGUAGCCAAUUGAUUCAUGCAUGACUGCUAUGACGAAGUUUGGGGGCGGGGUCAGGGGCGGGGUCUUGUCUGCUCCAAUCGCGCCAAGGCAUGGGGUGGGGGUAUUGCAUCGUGGGGUGGCCAGCCCACCUUGUCUUUGAAGCUCGCUGGUGCCCCUCUGCAAGCUGCAUGUACUAUUUAAUGAAUCGUGACCAUGACAGCACGCGCUGUAAACGAGCUGAACUCGCGGGGUGGAUUCCUCGGUGUAUUGGACCGCGCACUGCAGCCGCGGUUAAGGACGCAACAGCAGCGAGCUAGGCAAACCAAGGCACGAAUGCGUAUGCUUGAGACGCCUGGGAUUGCGUCCGGAGCUGCCUGGCGAUUCCUCGGUGCCAAUCGCGAAUUCCUUUUUGCUCCCAAUCGCUUUUGAGUCACAACAUACAUUGUGAAGUCCCCCAUAUCGCAUCCACACGGCACACGGGCUGCAGGCUGGAGCCGCAGGAGUGCCGGCAGUGCCCGACCAGGUGGGGCUUGCGGUUGCUCGCGGUUACUGUAUUGGGGGUGGGGCGGUUACUUGCGCAGGCCCAUGACUAGCAGCAUUGAGGGCUGGCUGCACGGGUGGGUGGUAUCGGCGGAAGGACAGCGUUGAGAGAGGGCAGGCAGCGGUAGGCAGGCAGGCAGGAAGGCAGGCAGGCGGACUUGGCCGUACGCCAGCAGGGUGGCGGUUUGUCGGGGAGGCCCGCAGGGAGGUCCGGGGCUGGGCUGGGGGACGGGGCCUGGGCACGCGGACCGCGCAGCCGGAUGGGCCGGUAGCUCCAAGUGUGCUGGCAGCAGCCAGUUGCAGUUGACGCCUGGCUGGCAGUCUAGCUUUGCUCCAGACCUCGCCUUUAACCAGUUCCGUCCCUCGUGUCUCCCAUGGGCGCGCAGGCGGCUUUGAUUGCUCUGCAAAAGCAAGUGGCGGCAUGCCAAGCGCGUGAGGCGGCAUACCAAGCGGAGACUGAGCGGCUGAGGGCCCAGCUUGUGAGUGGCUGUGUGCACGGGGCGGUGUGCAUGGCCUGCUACUGGAGAUGGGUUUACUUGCGGAAGACUGCCAGUUCGGGUCAAUCUGCAUGCGACAUGUUAAUCGGGCGUCAGAGGUGGCUCAUCAAUUGCACCGCCACGCAUAUGUCCUCCGCCGCUGACUUGCACCGCCACGCACAUGUCCACCGCCGCUGACUUGCGUGUCCCAUCAUUCCACUGCUGCAUGUGGACAGGCGGCCGCAGGGCACGUGGGGGCUGCCGGCUCGUUGGGUGCCGGGGCUGCUGGCCCAUCUGGUGCUGCUGCCCCACCUGCUGCUGGUGGUGCUGCUGGUGGUGCUACUGGCACGAAGCGGCAGGCCGACCUAGGGAGCGGCGGGGCCACUACCGCAGAGCCGCCGCAGCAGCGGCGGAAGCUCGGACUAUCGGAGGACGAGCAGCCGGCGCAGCAGACGGCGGCACAGGAGGCGGCACAGGAGGAGGCGGCGGAGGCGGCGCAGCCGGCGGCACAGGAGGCGACGCAGGAGCAGCCAGCGCAGCAGCUGCCGCUAGCACAGCAGGCACCGGAAGAGCAGGCGGAGGCAGAUCAGGCGCAGCAGCUGUAGCAGCACCAGGGGCUAAGCCAACAGGUUGUGUGGGAUGCUGCGUGCUAGGUUGAUUGCGGCAGGGUUGAGUAGUUGCCGCAGCUGCCGCCGGUUGUUGGGCUGGCGCAUACUGCCAUAAUGUUGCUGGGCAUGAGAGUGGCGAAAGGCAAUGGGGUUGCGAGACCGUACGUGUUGCACAAGAAUGUGAUGUGCUGAAGCCAUGGCCCAACUAAGCGAGGCCCAGAUGCCCAACUAAGCGAGAGCUGCUUACUCUAUUGUGCUGCAGUCUGUGUGGCUGCUGGGAGAGUUGCAAAAGUACUCAAGAACGUAACUUCAGACUCAUGCCGAUGACACUGCUGAAACCACAUUGAAGACUAUGCUGCGACGGUUGAGUGGUACCUGGUGUCGAGGCACAGUAGCAGGAGCGUCAGCUCUAUGGGGGCGCCAAGAGGCUCGGGAAGAAGCAUCGGUAGCCAAUUGAUUCAUGCAUGACUGCUAUGACGAAGUUUGGGGGCGGGGUCAGGGGCGGGGUCUUGUCUGCUCCAAUCGCGCCAAGGCAUGGGGUGGGGGUAUUGCAUCGUGGGGUGGCCAGCCCACCUUGUCUUUGAAGCUCGCUGGUGCCCCUCUGCAAGCUGCAUGUACUAUUUAAUGAAUCGUGACCAUGACAGCACGCGCUGUAAACGAGCUGAACUCGCGGGGUGGAUUCCUCGGUGUAUUGGACCGCGCACUGCAGCCGCGGUUAAGGACGCAACAGCAGCGAGCUAGGCAAACCAAGGCACGAAUGCGUAUGCUUGAGACGCCUGGGAUUGCGUCCGGAGCUGCCUGGCGAUUCCUCGGUGCCAAUCGCGAAUUCCUUUUUGCUCCCAAUCGCUUUUGAGUCACAACAUACAUUGUGAAGUCCCCCAUAUCGCAUCCACACGGCACACGGGCUGCAGGCUGGAGCCGCAGGAGUGCCGGCAGUGCCCGACCAGGUGGGGCUUGCGGUUGCUCGCGGUUACUGUAUUGGGGGUGGGGCGGUUACUUGCGCAGGCCCAUGACUAGCAGCAUUGAGGGCUGGCUGCACGGGUGGGUGGUAUCGGCGGAAGGACAGCGUUGAGAGAGGGCAGGCAGCGGUAGGCAGGCAGGCAGGAAGGCAGGCAGGCGGACUUGGCCGUACGCCAGCAGGGUGGCGGUUUGUCGGGGAGGCCCGCAGGGAGGUCCGGGGCUGGGCUGGGGGACGGGGCCUGGGCACGCGGACCGCGCAGCCGGAUGGGCCGGUAGCUCCAAGUGUGCUGGCAGCAGCCAGUUGCAGUUGACGCCUGGCUGGCAGUCUAGCUUUGCUCUGGACCUGGCCUUCAUCCAGUUCCCUCACUCGUACCUCCCAUGGGCGCGCAGGCGGCUUUAAUUGCUCUGCAAAAGCAAGUGGCGGCAUGCCAAGCGCGUGAGGCGGCAUACCAAGAGCAACUGGCGGCAUACCAAGCGCGUGAGGCGGCGGACAAGGCGCGUGAGGCGGCGCGCAAGGUGCGUGAGGUGGCAUACCAAGCGGAGAAUGAGCGGCUGAGGGCCCAGCUUGUGAGUGGCUGUGUGCACGGGGCGGUGUGCAUGGCCUGCUACUGGAGAUGGGUUUACUUGCGGAAGACUGCCAGUUCGGGUCAAUCUGCAUGCGACAUGUUAAUCGGGCGUCAGAGGUGGCUCAUCAAUUGCACCGCCACGCAUUUGUCCACCGCCGCUGACUUGCACCGCCACGCACAUGUCCACCGCCGCUGACUUGCGUGUCCCAUCAUUCCACUGCUGCAUGUGGACAGGCGGCCGCAGGGCACGUGGGGGCUGCCGGCUCGUUGGGUGCCGGGGCUGCUGGCCCAUCUGGUGCUGCUGCCCCACCUGCUGCUGCUGGUGCUGCUGGUGCUGGUGCUGGCACGAAGCGGCAGGCCGACCUAGGGAGCGGCGGGGCCACUACCGCAGAGCGGCCGCAGCAGCGGCGGAAACUGGGACAACCGGAGGAUGAGCAGCCGGCGCAGCAGCCGGCGGCACAGG
rnacentral:lncRNA from 1 species